GGCCUCAUAGCUCAAUGGUUAGAGUGUCGGCCUACGGAGCCGAAGGCUGAGGGUUCGAGUCCCUCUGGGGUCG
rfam:chromosome VI of strain GB-M1 of Encephalitozoon cuniculi (Microspora)